CAAGGAGGAAGCUCGCCAUAGAGGCCACAUGCUGGGUGUUUGUUACUCCUCCUGUGCCUCUGGGAAGGUCUGAGAGAAGGACCAUGUAUCAUCUUAGCAGGGUGCUACUUCUUGGAGGCAGGUGAGUUCCCAGCAAUCUGAGUCUUUGGCACAGCCUGAGAUCAGGACAGGAGAAACAGCAGAGAGGCUCAUUCCCUGCCCUGUGGAUGCCUCUGUGGCAUGAUGAGCANUCCAGAAUAACCCACUUCAGCCACUAUGAGUACAAUGGGCAGAGGUGAAGCAGAAGCCACUGCAGCUGCAUAACCCAAUUCAGACUAGUCUCCCCCCAG
rnacentral:RNase_P_RNA from 1 species